rnacentral:rRNA from 1 species
AGUGAACGCUGGCGGUAGGCCUAACACAUGCAAGUCGAACGGCAGCACAGUAAGAGCUUGCUCUUACGGGUGGCGAGUGGCGGACGGGUGAGGAAUACAUCGGAAUCUACUUUUUCGUGGGGGAUAACGUAGGGAAACUUACGCUAAUACCGCAUACGACCUACGGGUGAAAGCAGGGGAUCUUCGGACCUUGCGCGAUUGAAUGAGCCGAUGUCGGAUUAGCUAGUUGGCGGGGUAAAGGCCCACCAAGGCGACGAUCCGUAGCUGGUCUGAGAGGAUGAUCAGCCACACUGGAACUGAGACACGGUCCAGACUCCUACGGGAGGCAGUAGUGGGGAAUAUUGGACAAUGGGCGCAAGCCUGAUCCAGCCAUACCGCGUGGGUGAAGAAGACCUUCGGGUUGUAAAGCCCUUUUGUUGGGAAAGAAAAGCAGCAGGUUAAUACCCCGCUGUUCUGACGGUACCCAAAGAAUAAGCACCGGCUAACUUCGUG